CGCUGCCCGCUCACCCCUGCGGCAGAGUUUGAGGGUUUUUUUGUUUGUUUGUUUGUUUUUUGUCACAUAACGUAGGGUGGGGGGAGUCGUCUUCCCCUCCCACACCCGCCUACCGCUGAGCCGGGCUCUGAGGGGGAGCUUUUCCCGCCCUUAGAGCCGCCCUCACCUCACCCCGCUCCCCGCCAGGCCCCCGGGGGUCUUGCAGCAGCGGCUGCUCCCUCAAGGCGCUCAGACGAGAGCGGGAAUGGCUCCCUUUUCCUCCCCUCAUCCCUCCCUCCGGUGCUGUUGUUGAAGAGGCCGGUUUUGUGCUGGAAGAGCCCUCGGUGCGUGCCGGGGACCUGCCCGGUGCCUUUGUUCAGCCGGCGAGACGGGCUGUACCCGGCGCGCCGAUGGCGGCAAGUCACAUCGUGGCAGAGGGACCACAAUGCUCGGCCGCAGCUGGAGAAUGAAUCUUUCAGUGCAGCGUCUCCCGGGAUUUCUCCGUCUCCCCCAGCCAUCUGCGGGUCAAUGAGAGACAACCGGUAGCAUCUGGCAGACACAGUCGCGGGAGGAAAGAGGAAGGGACAAUCACAUGUACCAAUACAGCAAUGUGGAUGGUGCAGGAAGACUAAUUAAAGCAAUGUGGAAAAAGAAAAAUAUGCCAAAGUGGCAUGAACUAUACACUGAGACCCUCACACUUUCAUCUUGGACUCUGAAUUUUACUCAGCAGCAUCAACAUUUACUCUGCCCAUGACAUCACCUGUGACAAACUUCUAAAGGCUAUCUGGGACAUACAGUUGUUAGUAAGACAUUUUGGAGGCAAAAGGUUUGUGCAAGUAUAAUGUACACUGGCCUGAAGAAUCUUAAUUGUUGAUGAAGUAGAAGUAGCCCCAAGUAAGAGUUGAGGAUGAGGGUGUUAGUUAGGAAAAACCCAUAUCUUCUUUCAUUUGAAACUGAAAGAAAUCUGAUAUUUGCAUCUACAAGAGAAUGAGCUGGAAGCUCAAAGUGACAUACAGAAUAACUUUUCAAAUAACUAUCUGAACUGUAAUAGGAUAAUAAUGCACUCUGGUCUUUACAGGGCAAGAGUUAGUGAUUCAGUCUCUGUGUGAUGUAGGUGCUCACUACUCCACCGAGAUAUAAACGAAUAUGGUGUGGCUCCUGUAGGAGAGAUGAUCCUUCUGAAUUAAAAAGUUUGAAAUUAGAACACCUAGAAGCAGUCAAACUUCAAGAGAAAGUUUAAGGGAUCUGUUUUCUAUGAAUCUCUUUUAAUGACAGCAAAGCUUUAGGAAGGGGGCAGCUUGGCCCUGCACAGACUUCUUUUUUUUUUCUUUGAGUCAGUGGAAAUGCUGGUAAUAGUAGAGCAGCAAGAGCUAGCAUGUUGUAUGAUCAUACCAACACAUGUACCAGUAUGCAACUUCACAUAGCUUUUAAAGUCGCAGUGACGUUACGUUUGAUGGCUUCUUGCUGGGGAUGAGGGUGUAGGAGGGAUGUCUUCAGGCUGCCAAGUUGUACAGUUCUACUUAAAUGGCUUCAUGUCAAGGAAUAGUAAUGAACGAGUAAACUUACUGGCCCACCAAACUGUACAGAGCAGCAAAAGUAGCCCCUCCUUUUGCUGUGCUGAAAGUAACUAUGAGAAACUAGCUUUAUGGUUUUAUAAAAACAAUUUUACUUUCUUACACAAGAAUAUACAAAUUGUCUAUUGCUCCCCUAAAUAAUUAUCUUUCCUAAACAAGAUGUUAUAUUUGUUGCCUGCCAUUUUGUCUCAUUGUUAAUAAAUGGUUAGUUUACACAGAUGGAUGGGUUUACUGCCCUAGCUAGAAAAUUAAGUAAUAGUGAUGGCAAUGUUGUUACACUUAUGUGGUAAUGGAAGAGUAUUGCAAGUAACCUCAUACAGACAAAACUGACAAUAAGGAACAAUUUAACAUAAAAGCUUUGGUCUGCUAUCUGGGUGUGUCAUUUCCUUUGGGUUGAAAGUUUUCCCCAUCUUGUAU